rnacentral:lncRNA from 1 species
GUUAAAAGCUAGGGCUAGGACUUGGAGGAUGUGUAGGCAAUCGGAAGGAGAGCCGGGGGAAGAAAAACCGAGAUGGAUUCAUUCUCUGUCCUGGAUGGAGGAGGAGAAGAGGGGAGAGGAGCAGGGGACGAGCAAGCUCCCUCCGACGGGCGCCGUCCGGUGCGAAGCGGUCGCCCCUGCGGGGCUGCGCGCCGCUCCCGCGCCCGCGGACUCGCGCCGGCUGCUGCCAAUCACACCGCCCGUCCUCCACGACACCCCGAGCUGGCAUGGACAU